rnacentral:rRNA from 1 species
AAUUAACGCUGGCGGCAUGCGUAACACAUGCAAGUCGUACGAGAAAGCCCGGUUCGCCGGGCGAGUAAAGUGGCGCACGGGUGAGUAACGCGUGGGUAAUCUACCCCGGUCUGGGGGAUAACGCACCGAAAGGUACGCUAAUACCGCAUGACCCGACGGGUCCCUGGACCCAUCGGCAAAGGUGGCCUCUGCAUGCAAGCUACCGAACCGGGAUGAGCCCGCGUCCUAUUAGCUUGUUGGUGGGGUAAUGGCCCACCAAGGCGACGAUGGGUAGCUGGUCUGAGAGGACGGCCAGCCACACUGGAACUGGUACACGGUCCAGACUCCUACGGGAGGCAGCAGUGAGGAAUAUUGCGCAAUGGGGGAAACCCUGACGCAGCGAUGCCGCGUGGGUGAAGAAGGCCUUCGGGUCGUAAAGCCCUGUCAGGCGGGAAGAAUAGCCCCGGGGCUAAUAUCUCCGGGGUGUGACGGUACCGCUGAAGGAAGCACCGGCUAACUCCGUGCCAGCAGCCGCGGUAAGACGGAGGGUGCGAGCGUUAUUCGGAAUUAUUGGGCGUAAAGGGCGUGCAGGCGGCCGGCCAAGUCUGAUGUGAAAGCCCGGGGCUUACCUCGGAAGGGGCGUGGAAACUGGUUGGCUUGAGUUCGGGGAGAGGAAAGCGGGAUUUUCGGUGUAGAGGUGAAAUUCGUAGAUAUCCGGAGGAAACCGGGUGGCGAAGGCGGCUUUUCUGGACGAAACUGACGCUGAAACCCAAAAGCGUGGGGAGCCAACAGGAUUAAAACCCUGGGAGUCCCACCUGUAAAAAUGGGACUAAGGGGGGGGGGGUUUUUAUCCCUCCC